AUUGGACGCUGGGGGCAUGCCUUUCACAUACAAGUUGAACGGCAGCAUGAUUUAGCUUUGUAGAUUGGUGGCGAGUGGCGAACGGGUGAGUUAUACAUUGGAACGUGCCCUGUAGUGGGGGAUAACUAGUUGAAAGAUUAGCUAAUACCGCAUACGGCCUGAGGGGGAAAGUGGGGGACCGCAAGGCCUCCUGCUAUAGGAGCGGCCGAUGUUUGAUUAGCUUGUUGGUGGGGUAAAGGCCCCCCAAGGCGACGAUCAGUAGCUGGUUUGAGAGGACGAUCAGCCCCCCUGGGACUGAGACACGGCCCAGACUCCUACGGGAGGCAGCAGUGGGGAAUUUUGGGCAAUGGGGGCAACCCUGAUCCAGCCAUUCCGCGUGUGUGAAGAAGGCCUUCGGGUUGUAAAGCCCUUUUGUCCGGGAAGAAAUCGCACUUUCUAAUAUUAGGUGUGGAUGCCGGUAAAGGGAGAAUAAGGCCCGGCUUACUUCCUUCCCGCAGCCU
rnacentral:rRNA from 1 species